rnacentral:misc_RNA from 1 species
GGCUUACUACUGAAAGACAAUAUGAUCAGUGGCAAUUAUUAUGCUGGAAGCCAGAAAUACACCAUAGGGUUUUCAUUUUAAAAGAAACUCUGCAUCUCUUGUUCAUCACAAUAUUAUAAUCACGCAGAAAUUGAAGGGGAAUAUUUUCAACAGAAGCCAAAAAAGGUGGCAGCUGAAGUGCUAAUGCAAGGUUUCACCCUUAUAUGAGUUCCAACAUACUUCCUA